rnacentral:misc_RNA from 1 species
CACUGAUUCCUGAAUUUGACCCAACUUUUGCUCUGCAUCUUCAAGUUUCUUGCUCAGUUUGGAGUUUCUGGCCUCAGCAUCUUUACAAGCUUCCCUUGCCUCUUUUGCUGCCUGUCUUUCUGAGAGCAGUGAAGCCUUCAAACUCUCCACCUCAGCUGUUAAUUAUUUGACCUUUUCAGUGUCUUGAACAAGAAGGGGGGUCUCCUUAACGACUGGAGGUGUCUCUUCAAUAGCUUUCCGAGCUGCCUCUCGUUCUUUGAUAACUCU